rnacentral:rRNA from 1 species
CCUACGGGAGGCAGCAGUAAGGAAUAUUGGUCAAUGGACGAAAGUCUGAACCAGCCAUGCCGCGUGAAGGAUUAAGGCCCUCUGGGUUGUAAACUUCUUUUAUCUGGGACGAAAAAAGGGUAUUCUUACUCACUUGACGGUACCAGAGGAAUAAGCACCGGCUAACUCCGUGCCAGCAGCCGCGGUAAUACGGAGGGUGCAAGCGUUAUCCGGAUUUACUGGGUUUAAAGGGUGCGUAGGUGGGUCUGUAAGUCAGUGGUGAAAUCUCCGAGCUUAACUCGGAAACUGCCAUUGAUACUAUAGGUCUUGAAUUAUCUGGAGGUAAGCGGAAUAUGUCAUGUAGCGGUGAAAUGCUUAGAUAUGACAUAGAACACCAAUUGCGAAGGCAGCUUACUACGGAUAUAUUGACACUGAGGCACGAAAGCGUGGGGAUCAAACAGGAUUAGAUACCCUGGUAGUCCACGCCCUAAACGAUGGAUACUCGACAUCAGCGAUACACUGUUGGUGUCUGAGCGAAAGCAUUAAGUAUCCCACCUGGAAGUACGAUCGCAAGAUUGAAACUCAAAUGAAUUGACGGCUGAGACGNGCGAGACGACGACGAGGGAGGAGG